UUUGCAGACACCCUGAUAAAUAUAUUAAAAUAAAAAUAAGAGAAAAUUCUAUGAAACAAGAUAAAGGGAAAUAAAGAUGAUUAUAAGAUUAACAAACUUGACAAUUUCUGCAAUGGGAAAUGUUAACUUUUUGUUAUGCUUUUGGGGGAGAAAGUCAUGUUUCUCUCUCUAUCAUAUUUCUCCACCUUCUUUUUAAAAUAUAGUAGCGCCGAUCAACUCUUCCUCUCACCCCAAAUCCAAACAUGUUGAUCAACCCGAAAGGGUCAUGUUAUUGUCAUUGACGUAUUGGACUCAUCCCUCGAUUUGAGUUCUUACGCGUUUUUUCGAACUGUUGUGUUUGGUGGUAUGAUUUUUUCGAUUCUCUGAUAUUCCAGAUUUGUUAAGAUCUGCAGGUUUCGACGAGUCAUGUCUACCUUCACUCUGGUUUUGCUCGAAAGAGCUUUUUGCGCUUGUUUUUUAUCAUGAAGUUGUUGGUACUUGGAUUUUGAUACAGUGUUGACGGUCGAUCCAUUCACCAUAUUUAAACUCUAUCUGUUAUCUGUAGAUUUUCACUUUUCAUACUUUUUUGUAAUCUGGUUUCGCGCCCGUACGCGAGUUCGUUGGAUUGCACAUGUGAUUAGUGAAUUUUUGUUAUGAUAGAUUAGAGUAGAUCCACUUGGACUGUUUUAUCACGUUGUAUUUCCGCUUGAGUUAUUCCUAGUGAGAAAUCAUGUAGAUCGACAAAUCAAUACAUCACGUGAAGGAUUGAGGAUAUGAAGAUUGAAGUUCAAUGAUGUUAGAAGGUAUUUGAAGACAAUACAAAGUGAAGAGAACACUGAGAGAAGAAGAAUAGCAAAAGAGAAAGAAGAAAGAGAAUGGUGGACUGUAUAGAUCUCGUAAAAA